AGGAGAGAGAGGGAUUCGAACCCUCGAUAGUUAUACUAUACCGGUUUUCAAGACCGGAGCCAUCAACCACUCGGCCAUCUCUCC
rnacentral:tRNA from 1 species